rnacentral:misc_RNA from 1 species
UACGGAGGGUGCAAGCGUUGUCCGGAUUUAUUGGGUUUAAAGGGUGCGUAGGCGGAAUAAUAAGUCAGUGGUGAAAGCCUGCGGCUUAACCGUAGAAUUGCCAUUGAUACUGUAAUUCUUGAGUUCAGUUGAGGUAACUGGAAUACGUAGUGUAGCGGUGAAAUGCAUAGAUAUUACGUAGAACACCGAUAGCGAAGGCAGGUUGCUAAACUGAAACUGACGCUGAUGCACGAAAGCGUGGGGAGCGAACAGG